CUUCAUUGGUGUCUUCAUCGGCCACUGCUCAGUUUCCCCCGAAGAAAUUCCCCCGAAGAAAUCCAGGGCAUGAAAUCACUUGAGCAUAGAGGAGCAUGCCAAAACUCGAACCCACAACUGUGGGGAUUUUGUUUGGCUUCCAACCACUAAGUCACCACCUCAAGCAGUUAAUAACUGAAUCGUUUAUUUAAAAUAUAAACAAUAACUAAUGUAUAUAUAAAUAUUAAUAUCCAUAUAAUGUACAUAUAUAUGUACAAAAUUGAAAAUGGAAUAUCAACAGGCAUGCGGUAGUCCGUGUAGUCGGGUUAUAUCUAAAAAAGUAUAAUAAGAAUGUGUUUCUAAAUAAUUAUAAAUGGAUUUUCACUAGACAUGUGAUAUUCAGCGUAGACCGAUUAUCUCCAAAAAAUUAUAAUAACUGACAAAAAGGUUCCCACCAAGUCUUGGGUAGUCAGUCCUCUUAAGAUAGAUGGUACCACUAGAGAUAAUAAAAAUUACAAUAAUAAGCGGCAAAGCCAAUCCAAAUAAUUUAACGGAAAAAAUAAUGAGAUUGGAAGCAAGGCCAGAAACAAAUUUUACCGUCUUAAGCUAGUUAGAGGCUCAUGCUGAUAACGUGUUAUAGAACAAAAGAAUGAGAUGGAAUGCACUGAUUUUAUUAUACUUUCACAAUGAAUUAAUGAUUUUGGUUUGAGGGGGAGACUGUACUCUUUUUUCAUCAUCAAGGUUUUUAUUCCACUGGGUUUUUCCUGACAAAGUUUUAAUGAGGCAUCCAAAAAAUUCAACAUUCAUGCAAAAAUAUGUACUUUUUUUCCUUUUGCCAAGUUUUUUCCCACUAGGUUUUUAUUAAUUAUUAGCAAAGGUUCUUGAUGAGACAUAAUAUUUUGCAAUAGGCAAACAAGAGGGAAUGUUACAACUCGUAAGCUAGGCCAGUAUAGGGAAAGAUUGCCUAUAAGGCCUGGCCUUUGACCCCUAUUGCUCUCUCUAUUCCUGCCCCUCCCUUUGCCACAACAUGCCUACACCGAUUAAUAAGGAACUCAGUUCCUUGUUUCCUUUCUUCCCCUCCACUUAUAAAUUCAAAUGCAGAAACCGAAUGAAGGACACACCGUAAAAAAAGGGAAAAUUGAGAGAAACAAAUUUAUGUAGAAUUUCAUAGUUAUAAUAAAAUCAGUGCAUUCCAUCUCUAAUUUUCUUUUGUUCUAUACCAGAAAUGAGAUUCUUUUUUUGGACCUUAAGGAGAACAAUAUAUACAUAUAUAUAUAUAUGGGUCCCCGUUCCACAGCUAUUAUUAGUUGGGAACACUAUUCCAGCUAACAGAUCUCCAGCCGUUCAUCCAAUUAAUCGAUGGCUGAGAUUAGUUUUGACUUAAACCCGGCCGACGUCCUUCCUACGGCUGGUGUAAGUCCUUCUUUUGGCCACAGAAAUUACCUAAAUGCCCCUAAUUUUUAAAUUCAAUUCAGUCUGGCCGCACCUCCUUCCUGCGGCGUUUUUCCUGGCCGCAGGAAGGAGGUGCGAUCAGGCUAAACUUAUAAUCAGAUCUAGUUAUCUUUCUUCCAUAGCUAUUGUUAGCUGCAGCAAAUAGAAAACGGUUGGAACAAAGGUUUCUACUGAUUUCUUUGGUAGCCUUCUAACACAUCAACAAGCAAUUUGGUACCGAUUAAUCUACUUCAAAUACAAGUGUAUUUGUACCAAUUAUUGCAUAUAAUUUUUGAAUAAUUUAUAUAAUAUUAGUAGAAUUAUAUUAUAUGAAAUAGUUCUUGGAUAGUAUGCAUGUAUAUAGAUUGGGUAGCAUGCACGUAUGAGAAUGAAUUAUUUUUACACAAUAAAUAUUGUUGUGAUUAUUUGAAAAAAUUUAUUGCUUCUUAAUUUAUAAAAUGCAGUAUGUAUGUAUUGAAAUUGGGUAUCAAUAUAUGGAUAAUGUUAAAUAGUGGAUAUGCAUGUUGAUGUUGUUAUUGAGAUAUUUGUAUUGUUGUUUGUAUUGUUAGGUUAAAAUGGGCAGAUGGCUACCUGGACCCAUUGACCCAAGUGUCCUUUAUGAUCAACAACAACAUGUUUCGGAAGAUGUAUGGAAUGGGGUUGAUAGAGGUACAAUAUCAUCGACCCAAACAACUGCAAUUAUAUAUGAUAAAUGGGAACUAAUUGUACUUCAAAAAAAAACUUUUAAAGGCUUGGGGGUUUGGGGUGUUUAGUCAUCCGGCAAUAGUUACCAAAACUGACGCUAGUCUUGUCUAUGCCCUAAUUGAGAGAUGGCGUCCGAAGACUAAUACCUUUCAUAUGAAGUGUGGAGAAAUAACAAUCACAUAAGAGGAUGUUCAUUUUAUUUUGCGAUUGUCGGUAUUAGGUAAACCCUUAACAUGUCCCGCAUUUGAUGCCCCAUUGAGAUAUUUCACAGAAUGUUUAUGGGAGGAAAGGGUGGGGAAUGGAAACAGGUUAAAAAAAGACGUGGUAUUUCCCUAGUUUGGUUGCACGAGACUUUCUCUAAGUGUCCAGAAAAUGCAAGUAGGGAUGAGGUUGGGCGUUAUACAAAGGCAUACAUUCUGUGGAUAUGCAGGGCGAUUUUAUUUCCCACUAGGUCAAGGUACACCCUAGGUAUAUGUACUUUGUAUGUGAUUCAAAGAAGAUUGUCACAUAUGCAUGGGGUACUGCAUGUUUGUCAUAUUUAUAUAGGGGUUUGUAUUCAGCUUCUAGAAAAGGGAGUAAAUAUGUCAAUGGUUGUGUGUCAUUGUUAUAAAUUUGGACGUACGAGCGUUUUAUUGUUGGAAGGCCAAACCUAGGGCAACGACUUGGGCAUACUCUGCCAAACAUAAAUCUCCUGAUAGGAGGGAUAAUCCACAUCACCAUUUGUCUUUCUACCGGGGUGAAUUUGAUAUACAGCCUAAGUGGGAAGUAGUUUGGCGGCCUUACCAGAGAUGGGAUGAAGAUUGGCGCUUCUAUAAUUAUAAGGCUAGAAUGGCAGGAUCUGGUCGGGUCCCAUUGAUUUAUUUUGAUGUUGUAACAUAUCAAAUGCCCGACCGGGUUAUGAGACAAUUCGGGUAUGUACAAGGUAUUUCGUCCCCGAUCGAAAAUAAUGAUUUUCUUAGAGAACCCAUAGAACAAAAAUUUGAGCUGGAGGAUUACAUGGGAUUGAGAAAGGCAUACAUUAAGCAGUGGGAGAUCUAUAUGAAUGAAUUUGAGGGACAAAUAAUUGUUCUUGCAGAAACUAUACCCAUUGAUACAUACUUCACAUGGUAUAAUAAGAUUACCCAACGGCAUUUGCACCGCUCUCGACGAGAAGGAGAUCCUAACACUUCCUAUGAGCCCCGGUCUGUAUAUAAUCAAACAUCUUAUGGUUAGCAUGGUAAGCAAUUUAAUAUUUUGAUACAAUAUUCAAUUGAUAUAAUGUUAGCAGUAUUUGAUGUUAAUGUAAUUUUUUUCUUAAUUGGCAUAGAUUGACACCGCAAAAUCUCUUCUGGACAAAGUCUUCAAGCUUAACGUAGACAUUCCUAUAGAAUACACACGCAUGAAAGAUAGUUGGGACCUCCUGUAUGGAAUGUAUAAUGCAGAUAUGAGGGGUGGGGGAGAGGAGUAUACGGGGGAGGAGUAUACGGGAGAGGGUCAAGAGACAAAGAUGCCCAAUGAUGAUGCCCCACAUGAUAUUUACGUCCCUUUGACCAAGUCCGAAUUGCCUCCCCUUACUCAGCUGACAUAUGACGAUGCAUCUACAUUCAUUGGGGAUGAGGUUCAAGAGGUUCGAGAAGUCCCAUUACAAAUUGAAUAUGGACCGAAAGGGUCUAUACCAAAGAGACUUCGGGGGCAGAAGAUCCAAAUGAUCAACGAGAACUUCUCCCCUAUUCCUGCCAAUCCAGAGAUGUUUCCCAUCAAGCACUGUAUACAUUGACACAUGAAGAUUUUGCUUGUUUGCAACCCGGAGUUUGGAUAUUUGAGCAUGUGAUGGAUGCGUAUAUGUGUCUUCUACGGGAUCGGGAAGAAAAAUAUCAGCAAUCAGGCAUACAGAGGUGGGCAAAAUUUGGUUUCAUGCCCUCCUAUUUCAUGCAAUUGGGCAAAGGUGCGUUGUCAAAAAAAGCAUCAAAUGGAGGAUCCCAAUUCUGCCAAUCAUAUGUUCAACCUCCUGUGGGACCGCCAUUGCAUGAGUGCGAUUUCAUCUUUAUGCCUGUAUGUUCAACCGACCACUUACAUUUUAUACUUUUAGUCUUUGUCAUCAAAGAUUGGAAGAUUUCUAUCCUUGACCCUUUCUAUAAUGACACGCCGUACAUGAAACUGAGUGAAAUGUACAAAGGGUUCGUCGAUGUCGCGGUACGUGUAAUUAAUUGUUUUUUCAUUCCUUGUAUCAUUUUAUCAUGGUUGCGUACUAACGAGGUUGGUUUUAUUGUAGGUGAAAUUAAUACCAUUAAUCUUGCGAAUGGGUAACCCGUUGGGUGGUUGGAGUCAUACACUCCCAAAGGUACAUGCAGCAAAGGGUCAGCCCAUGCAGGAUAACUCAAAUGAUUGUGGCGUCUUCGUUUGCAAGUACGUUAACUACCUCCUGCAGAGCAACCUUGACUUGACGAAGGAAAGAUGGUCAACUGAGGAUUUAACGGUGUUUAGGUAUAGGAUAGCCUAUGAAUUGUUCAAAUGUCAGGCUGAAGAUAUCCCCAUGGCAGAAAUUUAGAUGGACUUUGGUAUUGCAUCUGCAUUCUUUAAGUACUUUCAUAAGAACAAGAAUUGUACUAUAAUUUCACCUCAAUGUAUGUUAUUUUAUUUCCUGGAUGAUUUUUAUAUUCAUUGUUCUACUCAAUGAUGGUUGAUAUAAUGUAUGUAUAAAGCUUGAUUAUGUUGGUAUUGUUGGAUAUUUCAUAUAUUCAUGAUUGCAUUGUUGUUAACAGGUUUGGGCAUUAGGAAAAAAUAUGGGUUGAGGCCAAUUCCCUGGACACUGACCACAGGUAAGACAUGCGGCCAGGCCAAAAUCCCUGGACACUACCCGCAGGACCUGCGACCAGUGUCCAGGGAAUUGGCCUAUUGCCCUAACCUGUUAACAACAACAACACAACAACAAUACCAUUCUUGCAACUUUACAUUCUUGGUUCCCCUUAAAAAUUACAUAAUAAAAAAAUUGACAUCAAUAAUAUAUAAAAAGUAUUUUAAAUUACACAUCAAUAAACAUGACGACCAAACACGUACAACUGAAAGUAAUAAGUAAUAACUAGAUAAAGAUUACAUCAUGGUGUCGACCCUAAGUAUUUUUAGGUUCAAGAAUUCCUAACACUCUAUAAUGAUUGCGCUUGUCAUGGUUGGUUUGAAAUCCACAUAUAGCACAUUUUCGGUGGGACUUGCUACCCACUACUUUUUCAAUGGCACUUUUGAAUCUCAAUUGUUUUUUUUUUGACCUUUUGUUUGAAAAGUAAUUGGUGGCAAAAACUCUUGAUCUUCUUCUUGUUCUUCAUCCUCUUCUUCAUCAUUAUACUCCCCGACUAUCUCCCGAGAUGCAUAUCCGUUCACCCGGUCAAUAUCAUUAUCUCUUACUUCGCUAACAUCCUCAUCUAGGUUAUAUUGAUCAACAAGGGUUUUUCCUCGUGCAUUUAGUUUUAGUACAGUCUUAUAACCUCGGACUGAGCAAGCAACUUUAGUCGCUAACUCUUGAAAAUCACUCAUCAAAUGAUUAAACCGCAUUGCUUGAUUUUUAUCAAAGUCCGCACCGAAUGGAGAAACCAUAACUUCUUCACCAUUAGUCCUGUUAGUAUCUCUUGUCCACCGAGGAAUGAUCAUGUCAUGUAUUUUUGAAAUAUUCUUGAAGCUAAAAAACCUCAUAAUGUGCCUGCAAACUCGUCAGUAUUUCCCAACGCUCUUCAAACUCGUCGAUGGAGAAUGAAUUAUAGACAAUUGUUGAAAUUAUCUUUAAACGAAGGGUGUUCCGCCUAAACAUGAUGCAAUUUCUUAAGGAAUUUAUAGCUAAUAUGCCAAGAACACAAUAGAUGAUGAGUAGAUGGGAGUAUCCUAGCAAUAACAUUAAUCAUGGCUUUAUCUUGAUCAGUGAUGAUGGAUAGAGGAGACUAGUAAUCCAUGGCUUCGAACCACGUCUCUAAGACCCACACGAAAGUGUCUUCCGUGUCAUCCCUUAACAAUGCAAAUCCAAAUAAUAUAGACUAAUAAUGGUGGUUGACCCCUGUAAAUGGAGCAAAUGGCAUAUUAUACCUAUUUGCCCUAUAUGUUGUGUUAAAUGUAACUACGUCUCCAAAACGAUGAUACAUAAACCUUGAUCGGGCGUCUACCCACAAAAUACAAGCUAUGCGAUUGUCUUUCGCCUGGUUUGACAUGAAAAAAGAAUUUGCUCGCACUGCCAGAUUCAAAAAUUUUCAAAUAAGUGACUGCAGCAUGUACAUCAUUUUCAUCCUCGGAGUCGCACCUUAAAUCCCUAACUACAUUACGAACAUCCAUGUCAUUAAAACCUACGUUCUAAAUCCCUCCAUCCAUUGUGCUCAAAACGUUCAUCAUCCUACUAGGAUCAAUACCAACCUUAUUUAAGGUGUCAAUUAAUUGUCAUGCUAUCGGUAUAAUAUUCCUAUGUGUCUCCAUCAAAUCUACUUUCGUAGGUGUCACACAUUGAUGAUUGUGACCCAACUCAAUGGUCGAAAUACGCCAAAUGCCUUCUUUUUUUUAUUGUGGACAACAUACAUUCUUGCUUCACAUAAUGUUCUCCCUAUCGAGUCUCUUUUCCUUCUUAUUUUAUCGGUAUCACAUUCAUCGUCUACUAAACUCUUUGGCAAAAAGCACUUUUUAACCACUGUGGUUGUAGUGUUUUAAACAAUUAGCCACAGUGCUUUUAAAAUAUUCAAUUAGCCCACUGUACUUUUUAAAAAUGUUAAAUCAGGUCAUUCCGUCCAAUUUCUUGGACGGACGUCAAAUAAUUACACACGUGGCAUUGAAAAGAAAAAUCAUAAAAUCAUUAUUUCCUACGUGGCAAGUCAGUCAGCCAAAUUCUUAAUACUAUUGAGCCACUGCAUUUUAAAAAAAAUGCAAUUGGCCCACUAUGGUUUUAAAAAUAUUUUUAUGUUUUAUUUUCUAUCUUUUUCUUUACCUAAAUAUUUAUAAUAUGUAUAAUAUUAAUAAAAAUUAAUAUUAUAAUAUUUAUAAUAUGUAUGUUUUAUACAAUCAAUACCUCAUUAAUUUUUCUUUUCCUUUAUCUUUUUUCCUUUCUUUUAAUUAUUUUAACUCUAAAUAAUACUAAUAAUCAAAAUAUUCAAAUUUUUUAAUUAUUUAGAACUAAAUAUUCAAAUAAUACAAACAAUAUAUCAAAUUUUUUGUAUCAAUGAGAUCUAUUACAAUAUUACAUUAAUUUCAACAAAAAAAAUAACAAUAAAAAAUCAUUAAUUAUGUGACAAAAAAAUAAUAAAAUUAAAAUAAAUAUUUAAUUCAUUUUCUAUAUAAUUAAAACUUUUCUUUUUAUCUUUUCCUUUCUUUUAAUAAUUAUUUUUAUUUUUAAAAUUAAUUUCAAAUAAUACAAAUAAAUUAAAACUCCUUCCAAAUAAUAAAAAUAAUUAUUUUUUAACCGGAAUGAUUAAUAAUUAAUUUUAAUAAUAAGAAUAAAAUAAUCAUUUUACAAGUUAAUGAUUAAUUAUUAAUUAUUAAUUUCAAAUAUUUAUUUUAAUUUUAUUAUGUUAAAAUUAAUAUAUAUUAUGUUAAAAUUAAUAUAUAUUUUAAUUAAGGGGUUAGACUUAAUUAUAAUUAUUUCUCUUUCAGCAAUCUUCUGUUCUUCAUCUUCAACAAAUUCCCCUUGAAGAAACUCUAUUAGUUUUUGGCUUCAUGACUCAUGACUCAUGACAUCCUCAACCCCAAUUCGAACGGUGGCAACGGCAGGCACCAUGAAAUCUAGGACAUAACACAGUAGAACACAGCAGAACAUCUACCUCAACCCCAAUUCGAACUAAUUUGGACAUAACACAUUACACAACACAACUCCCAAGCAAAAACCCAGGAAUCCAGUCAAAACGAAAUACAAAACAAAAUCAGAUCUUGAGCUUAGCUAAAUCACACAUAACAUCUAGAUCUGAAACAAUACGAUAGAAUAUAGUGAGAUUCGUUGUGAAAAACAGAAAUGCGUAUAUCCAUCUCCAUCUCAGAUUUAUAGAUCUAGAUCUGUAUUUCUUUUUCUUCUUCAACAAAAGUGAAAAACAGAAAUGCUAAUUUGUGGCUGUUGAUUUCGGUACUUUUUUGGGAAGGAUCGUGGGAGGAGAGAUAGAGGAUAAGGAAGCAGAAAAUAAUGAGCAUCGGAAUGAGAUGAAUGAACUUCUUCUCCGGUGAUGAGACUCGCCGACGACGAGUGUAGAUGUUUUAAGCAAUUUUGGUGAGAAAGAAGAUAAAGCAAUUUUGCCACAUAAUCAAUGAUUGCCACAUAAUAAUUUUUCGUUUUUUUUUCAAUGCCACGUGUGUAAUUAUUUAACGUCCUCCUCUCAGUAGGAUUCGAACCCAGAUGAAGUUCUGACCAAGAAAUUGGACGGAAUGGGUUGAUUGAACAUUUUUAAAAAAGUACAGUGGGCUAAUUGAAUAUUUUAAAAGCACAGUGGCUAAUUGCUUAAAACACUACAACCUCAGUGGUGAAAAAGUGCUUUUUGCCUAAACUCUUUACAGCAGUUGUUCUACCAGCUUUUUUACAUACAUAUAACCUGGAAGACAAAUCAUUAUUGUCGGCAUGUUUACGACUCGUACAAAUCCUAAUCUCAAAUCCUUUUUUGUGUGCAUAAGAUCUAUAAACAUUUUCAGCUUCUUCCAACUUGGAGAACAAUUGAUCAACAUAAGGGACCAUUACCUCUUUACUACUUUCAGCAUCAUUAACAUACUCAGAUGCAUUUGUACAAUCUAUACUAGCAAGAGAUUCAGAAGAACUAGACAUAAAUAUCUUUGUAGCAGGUAUGAACACUUACCAAAAUUUACUCUCCUUCACAACUGAUUUCUUCAAAUCGGGCAACAAUUCUUCUCUCCGGAUCUAACUUAGUUGGAUAGCUGUUCAGGCAACUAAUGCGUAUGUGUUACCAAGUAGGUCAAAAGUGUAGUUAAGAAUUCAAUUCAGCAUGGCCGCACCUCCUUCCUGCGACCAAGAAAAACGACAUCGAUUUUCCUGGCCGUAGGAAGGAGGUGCGGCCAGGCUGAAUUGGAUUUAAAAAUUAGGGGCAUUUAGGUAAUUUCCGUGGUCGAAAGGACUUGCACCGGCCGCAGGAAGGACGUACGGCCGGGUUCAAGUCAAAACUAAUCUUAGCAUUCAAUUAAUUGGAUGAACGGCUGGAGAUCUGUUAUAUAUAUAUAUAUAUAUAUAUAUAUAUAUAUAUAUAUNNNNNNNNNNNNNNNNNNNNNNNNNNNNNNNNNNNNNNNNNNNNNNNNNNNNNNNNNNNNNNNNNNNNNNNNNNNNNNNNNNNNNNNNNNNNNNNNNNNNUUGCCAUUAGCAAUAGAGAAUCAAAAACUAAGCUCCGACUAAACCCACAUUUAUGCAAUUUCAAAAAAGAAUAUAUAUAAAAUUUAAAGGCAGUGGACUAACCUGCCAAUGAUACCAUUAACAGUAACAACCAGAUGAGUGGGUUCCCGAUCCUUAGCAUAAUUAGAAGCGGAUUCCAUAUCAAAAUUCCCGUGAAUAUCCGAUUCCUCUACUGUUGGAUGGCCAAGGUCGGAUCUGAAACACCGUGAUUUUGACACACACAAAGAUGUCCUCUUCUUCUUAUCAUUUCUAAUUGAAUUCUCUCUCUUCUGAAUAAUAAUAUUACCAGAAUCCAUAUCCGAACCCUUCUCUUCAAAUUGUUCUACAGUCUCCGAAUUCCUCUCUGAUCACAUAAAAGUAUAAUAUAAAUGUAGAGAGAGAAAGGGAGGAAGGAGACGGGAGUAGUAUGGAUUCCACACAGUUGAUUUAUUUGGGGUUGAUGAUUAGAAAUGGGGUCGACUGUUAAUAUGUCUAUUCUCCUAAUUAAUAACAUGGAUGAGUUGAAUUUCCACAGAUAAAAUGGCAGAAGAAGGGACUCCC
rnacentral:lncRNA from 1 species